ACAAUGGUGGUUCAGUGGUAGAAUUCUCACCUUGCACAUGAGAGUCCUGGGUUUGAUUCCCAUCCAAGGCA
rnacentral:tRNA from 1 species